CGGAGUUCGGUUCCCGGCAGCCACCAGCUCUUCCGGCAAUGAUACUAUAGCUCCGCUGAAAAUUCCCAACAUUUUCUCUCUCUUCCGAGGAUACCAACUAAAACCAAAAAAAAACUAGUUUUGAAGAAAAUUAAACUGUUUGAGUUCUCUUGCUGCUAAAGAUGUAUGGGACAUGGAUGUUGUGACAAGGGAGAUCAAUGGUGUUUAAUUAUAUAGGAGGACAACGAAUGAUAUUUGAACUAAUACGUGGGGUCCAUGCGGAAGAGACGGAAUCAUUCUCGAGCGUUAGAUUCUAGUUUCGUGGGACCUGUGUUGCCAUAUGUGGUCUCUUGUCUUAUCCAAUCUCCUUUCUCAAAUACCUAAUUAUUGAAAAUUUACUCCAAUAAAAUAGCUUUUUAUAUAAAAAUAAUUGUGAAUGUGUUAUCUCAAAUUUCAUUGCAAAAGUAAUUCUUAACUUUUCAUUUAUAAAUUGUAAAAUACUGGUGAAUUUAAAUUUUAUUUAUUUGAUUUUUUUUUUGUUUCCACUUAUAAGCUAACAUACACUUUUCGUAAAACAAGAAGAAGGAUAACCAUCCACUUUGAUGAAUAAACACAGUUCUUACUUCGUACCCAGGUUCUAAAACGCGGCCGCACAGACCGAUUAAGCGGCGAGAAAACGCUUAGCGGUGGUCAAGCGUAGCGUUUUGACCCUAUUCGGCCAUGAAAUCGGAAUAUCAAAAUCGUUCACUUUUUUUAACGUUUUAAGCUUGGAAUCGAGUCUUAAAUUCUAAAUUUACAAGUUUGAAACAUAAAAAUCAAGAAAAACGUAAAAGAAAUUAUGAAAUCUGGGAAAACUAGGACAUGGCGGCUCUGAAAACGGUUACGUAACCCUAAAAUGACUGGAGGAUUUAGCAAAAAAAAAAAAAAAAAAAAAAAAAAAUGACUGGAGGAAGAAGAUGAUAAAUUUACGAUUGUGCCAUUAAUGAGUAAAAACAAAAUAAAAAUAAAAAAUAGAUACUGGAGGCGUUGAAGUCAGGGCCGGCUCAGAUGUAUUGUGGACCCUAGGGCGAGAUUUAAAAUAUGCCCUUUAGUUAUUCAUUGGUCCAAAUUAAAUCACUCAAUUUUCAUUAUUUAUUUUUAUAUGUGUAUAAAACCCAAAUCCACAAGAAAAUUAUAAAAAUGAUGUACUAUCGUCUACCGCAAUGGUCCAUAAAGCCCAAUAUGUUGAACAUAAAUUUGAUGUUUUUCCUUUGA